GGCCAGAUAGCUCAGUUGAUAGAGCACCGGACUGAAGAUUCAGGGGGCCUGGGUUCGAAUCCCAGUCUGGUCU